UACGUAGGUGGCAAGCGUUGUCCGGAUUUACUGGGCGUAAAGAGCGCGCAGGCGGUCGUUCAAGUCGCGUGUGAAAGCCCCCGGCUCAACUGGGGAGGGUCACGCGAUACUGAUCGACUCGAAGGCAGGAGAGGGAAGCGGAAUUUCGGGUGUAGCGGUGAAAUGCGCAGAUAUCCGAAGGAACACCGGUGGCGAAGGCGGCUUCCUGGACCGACACUGACGCUGAGGCGCGAAAGCGUGGGGAUCAAACAGG
rnacentral:rRNA from 1 species